ACAGAGGGUGCGAGCGUUAAUCGGAGUUACUGGGCGUAAAGGGCGCGUAGGCGGUGAUAUGAGUGUGAUGUGAAAGCCCCGGGCUUAACCUGGGAAGUGCAUCGCAAACGAUAUGACUGGAGUAGAUGAGAGGGUGGCGGAUUUUCCGGUGUAGCGGUGAAAUGCGUAGAGAUCGGAAGGAACGUCAAUGGCGAAGGCAGCCACCUGGCAUCAUACUGACGCUGAGGCGCGAAAGCGUGGGGAGCGAACAGGA
rnacentral:rRNA from 1 species